rnacentral:lncRNA from 1 species
UGUUUUCAUUAAUCAAGAACGAAAGUUGGGGGCUCGAAGACGAUCAGAUAUCGUCCUAGUCUCAACCAUAAACGAUGCCGACCAGGGAUCAGUGGAUGUUGCUUUUAGGACUCCACUGGCACCUUAUGAGAAAUCAAAGUUUUUGGGUUACGGGAGUGCAUUGACGACGCCACGCGUUUAGGCAAUGCCCGCCCAACGCCCACAGCAUGACAGAGCCCAAUGUAGGGAGCGCCCAGCACGCGCUCCCCAUCUUGUUGAACAAUCUACCCGAGUCCAAUGAGAAGAUGUGCGAAAUGCGAUACUUGGUGUGAAUUGCAGAAUCCCGUGAACCAUCGAGUCUUUGAACGCAAGUUGCGCCCGAAGCCAUUAGGCCGAGGGCGAGCACCCGGUUAAGGGCCCUUCUUGACGCUUCUCCAGACUACAAUUCGGACGAAGGCAACGAAGCACCCUCUACUAGGACCUACUGGUCGGCAACCAUCCAACACCGUGUCAACAAAUUGUACGAACGUGCACCCGACCGAGGGCCAAUGGUCUGCCGAUCGACUCGGGGUGUGGACCUGUGCGGAUUGGUACGGCGGCCAAAGCCUGGGCUGUUGAUAUGCUCGUGGAGACGUCGGCGCCCAGUGCACCCAUGCGUCGGCUAGCACGCCCAGGCAGACCUCCAUAUAGCUAUUUAGCAGGCUGAGGUCUCGUUCGUUAACGAAAUUAACCAGACAAAUCGCUCCACCAACUAAGAACGGCCGACUAGGGGACGGACUGGGAACGGCCUCUUCGGGGGCCUUCCCCGGGCGUCGAACAGUCGACUCAUAACUGGUACGGACAAGGGGAAUCCACUGCCUGGGCGCGCUGGCUGACGCCUUGGCGCGCUGGGCGACACCUGGGCGCGCUGACGGUUCGAUUAGUCUUUUGCCCCUAUACCCAAGUCAGACGAAUGAUUUGUAUGUCAGUAUCACUGCGGGCCUCCACCAGAGUUUCCUCUGGCUUCGCCCCGCUCGGUGCCGUCGAAAGGUCCGAAAGACGGUGGCUUUCGUCAUCGAGUUGACUUGAUGGAAAUGCGAGCACCCGGUUGAGGGCCCCACGCUAAUCACUAUCUAUAUUUAAUACUUUUUGUUUACAUUAUUUUUUUAUUCUUGUGCACGUUGGGGGUGCACGGUUAAGCCAUUGGGCGCAAGGGAAGUUGGCAAAAUGGAUCCGUAACCUCGGGAAAAGGAUUGGCUCUGAGGACUGGGCACGGGGCUCCCAGUCCUGAACCCAUCGGCUAUUGGUGGACUACAAAAAUGCAUCGGGAAGUGUGUUUGAUUAUCAUGAAAGUCCCGCGGUGUUGACCACAAACAGCUUUCCAAGGUUUGCGUUAGUCGUGGAUAGGGAAGCGCAUCGCCGACAGAAGGGAUAAGACGAUUGGUGCACACCGAGAGGCGGACCGUCCGACCCAACCCAAAGUCCAACUACGAGCUUUUUAACUACAAGUCCCCUGGAAGGGGGCGCCGGAGAGGGUUAGAGCCCCAUCGUGCCCAGACCCUGUCACACCACGAGGCGCUGUCUACGAGUCGGGUUGUUCAUCUCGCACCGUGUGAGAAGCACAAGGUGAAUUAGGGGCAUUUGGACGAGCGAAUUCCAUCAACAUAGGUAUAAAACACAGGCAAUCGAGCUGGUGUGGUGCGACAGGGUCCGGGCAUGACGGGGCUCUCACCCUCUCCGGCGCCCUCUUCCAGGGGACUUGGACCUGGUCCGCCGCUGAGGACGCAUCGAAAGUUGAUAGGGCAAAAAUUUAAAUGAUGCAUUGCCGGCACAAGGGUCGUACGAUCCGUCGAGUUAUCAUGAAUCAUCGCAGCAACGGGCAGAGCCCGCAUUGACCUUUUAUCGGGCCACCCAAGGGCGAUCCCCGACUAUGGGUUCGUAACUUGGGGAGCUUGCGCACCCCUCGUCCCUCACCCGAUAUUGUAACGUGUUCGCGAGUCGUUCUGGAGCACGCAGAUGCCGAAGCACGCUGUGAGGCGCGUGCUGCCAACCACGAUCGUCGUGACGAUGUCUCCAUAUUUUUGCUUCGGCAAAAACAUCAGGGGUACUUGUGACGCUUCUUCCGCCCAACCGGCCUUCAGCUGGGUGUCCCGUCCCGACGAUAGCCUGCCUGACGUGCAUGAGCUGCUAACUUUUCUUCCUAUUUUGUACCGCUAACUUUGAUUUUAUUUGGGCGCCGACGCUAGCAAUAUUUGGGACACUUUAAUGGUUUUUUGGCCCAUUGGCCCUCGGUCGGGUGCACGUUCGUACAAUUUGUUUACAUGGUGUUGAAUAGCAGUCCACCGACAACCGACGAGUUCGGGAUUGGGACCCCCGUGCCCAGCCCUCAGAGCCAAUCCUUUUCCCGAGGUUACAGAUUCAUUUUGCCGACCCGCCCAACCGGCCUCCAGCCGGGUGUCCCGUCCUGACGAUAGCCUUGGGUCACUCGCCCAACACAGGUGAUGUUGUCUGUCAAAAAGAAUACUUUUGUUUUUUUAUCUUCUUCUCGGCAAUCUUUUCGCGCAUAGCGGUGCUUGUUGGUGUCAUCUUAUUGUCCUUUAGUUAUCAUUUAGAGGAAGAAGAAGUCGUAACAAGGUUUCCGUAGGUGAACCUACGGAAGGUUCAUUGUCGAAACCUGUAUAGCAAAACGACCCGCGAACAUGUUACAAUAUCGGGUGACUCACGACCCGGCCAGUUAAGGACAAGAGCACAUCGCCGACAGAAGGGACGAGACGAUCAGUGCACACUGAGAGGCGGACCGGCCGGGCCCAAGUUCCCUGGAAGGGGGCGCCGGAGAGGGUGAUAGCCCCGUCGUGCCCGGACCCUGUCGCACCAAGAGGCGCUGUCUACGAGUCGGGUUGUUUGGAACUUAUGAGAAAUCAAAGUUUUUGGGUUCUGGGGGGAGUAUGGUCGCAAGGCUAAAACUUAAAAGAAUUGACAGAAGGGCACCACCAGGAGUGGAGCCUGC